AGCGAACGCUGGCGGCAGGCCUAACACAUGCAAGUCGAACGAACUCUUCGGAGUUAGUGGCGGACGGGUGAGUAACACGUGGGAACGUGCCUUUAGGUUCGGAAUAACUCAGGGAAACUUGUGCUAAUACCGAAUGUGCCCUUCGGGGGAAAGAUUUAUCGCCUUUAGAGCGGCCCGCGUCUGAUUAGCUAGUUGGUGAGGUAACGGCUCACCAAGGCGACGAUCAGUAGCUGGUCUGAGAGGAUGGCCAGCCACACUGGGACUGAGACACGGCCCAGACGCCUACGGGAGGCAGCAGUGGGGAAUCUUGCGCAAUGGGCGAAAGCCUGACGCAGCCAUGCCGCGUGAAUGAUGAAGGUCUUAGGAUUGUAAAAUUCUUUCACCGGGGACGAUAAUGACGGUACCCGGAGAAGAAGCCCCGGCUAACUUCGUGCCAGCCGCCGCGGUAA
rnacentral:rRNA from 1 species